GGGUCAGUAGGUUGGUCGUGCCACCGGUACGUACUGGUCUCACUGAUUCCUCCUUCCUGAAGAACCGUAAUGCCAUUAAUUUGGUGUUGCGGGGAAACAGGACUGUUACUUUGAAAAAAUUAGAGUGUUUAAAGCAAGCUAACGCUUGAAUACAUUAGCAUGGAAUAAUGAAAUAGGACGAUCGAUCCUGUUUUGUUGGUUUCUAGGAUUGACGUA
rnacentral:rRNA from 1 species